UGGGGAAUAUUGCACAAUGGGGGAAACCCUGAUGCAGCGACGCCGCGUGAAAGAAGAAGGUAUUCGUAUCGUAAAGUUCUGUCCUAUGGGAAGAUAAUGACAGUACCAUAGAAGAAAGCUCCGGCUAAAUACGUGACAGCAGCCGCGGUAAUACGUAUGGAGCGAGCGUUGUCCGGAAUUAUUGGGCGUAAAGGGUACGCAGGCGGUUUAAUAAGUCGAAUGUUAAAGAUCGGGGCUCAACCCCGCAAAGCAUUGGAAACUGAUAAACUUGAGUAGUGGAGAGGAAAGUGGAAUUCCUAGUGUAGUGGUGAAAUACGUAGAUAUUAGGAGGAAUACCAGUAGCGAAGGCGACUUUCUGGACACAAACUGACGCUGAGGUACGAAAGCGUGGGGAGCAAACAGG
rnacentral:rRNA from 1 species